rnacentral:lncRNA from 1 species
CGGCCUUUGGUGCAGCUGUAAGUCGGAUGGAAUCCACCUUCCUGACGUCAGACCCACCCACUGGAACACUGCUCCUCUGACUGGGGCUUCCCUGAGUGGAAACUACAUGUCAUACUUCAAAAACAACUUCUGAAGGAGAAAAAAGUCUUUGCUUCAGUUUCUGCUCUCCAGAGGUAACCCAAAGAGGUAAGGAACCCAGUAAGAAAGACAGAGAGAAGUAUGGACAAAAAACAGAUCCUAAACCUGUUUUGUUUUAUUUUUGGUAGUAGUUGUUUAUUUUUGAAAACAUUCAAACCACCUGUAUUGGUGGCUAUUAUUAUGAAAUAAAUAAACUGAGAAACAACA